AGUGAACGCUGGCGGCAGGCCUAACACAUGCAAGUCGAACGGCAGCACAGAGGAACUUGCUCCUUGGGUGGCGAGUGGCGGACGGGUGUGGAAUACAUCGGAAUCUGCCUUAUCGGGGGGGAUAACGUAGGGAAACUUACGCUAAUACCGCAUACGACCUACGGGUGAAAGCGGAGGACCGCAAGGGCUUCGCGCGAUAA
rnacentral:rRNA from 1 species